AGGCUGUGAUAACAAAUAAAAAACGUUUAUGAAUAAGGGGGAAAGACUUUAUAAGGCGUCUCUAAACAUAGACUAAUAUAUAAUACUGAAAAUUUGUACGCAGUGGUUAUAUUCUGUUUGGAAAUCUCUAAAGUAGUGUUAUAUUCUCCUUCAUUUUUGAAAGUACAAUGGGGCUGAUUGCAGCAAUAAUAGUGCAGUUGUUUGGAGGAGCAGCGAUUUACCUCACUGGUGGAUUACUUCUUCCAUUGUUGGGGCCAUUGUUGGGUUUUAGUUCCAGUGGUAUUGUCGCAGGAAGCUUGGCUGCCGGGGCCCAAUCAUACUAUGGAAACCUUGCUGCCGGCAGCAUCAUAUCUCUGCUGACUUCUGCUGCCAUGGUGUCACCUACACCGUAAUGCGGUCCAGAGCAAAUAGUUUAACAGCAGUAGAUUUGUAUUUGUAGUAAAUUGCUGUUGAUUGUUGCUCAUCACAUAAUAUAAAAUUUAAAAAAUAAAUGAUGUUUAAUUAACAUUAUUACCCUGGUCCUAAUCGUUAUGGUUAUACAUACUUUGUCUAAAUAACGCGUUAUAGUAGAUGGGUUAGGUAGGGUAGAUAAGAUUUGUUGUUAUAAUUUCCACGCGAUUCUUUCACCAGAAUAAAGUCUCACCGUGUAAUAUUCCGGGAUAAAAACUAGCUUAAAAAGAUAAUUUAUUAAUUUAAGCCAAUCUGUGAGUAUUUUCCAAAUUUAUUUUAAUUUUUUUUAAGUUUAGUUCUAUUAAAAGCGCAGAUGAAUAAAGAUGUAUGUACUCUUUAUAUACAUGUGCAAAUAUGCAGUAGUAAAUAAUAAGUUUAUUAUUUUUUUUUCCGGGACAGUGCACUGUGACUACUGUGAGAGACCAGGACACAAGAAAAGCUGCGCACAAUACAAGUAGUGAAAUAAUGCACACCCAAAGAUCUAUCCAUUUUUAAAUAUGUAUCACUUAUUUGAGAACCAUUUAAUUUAAAUGGAUUGCAGUUUCAUUAACUUUUUGGUGAGUGGUGGCCAUAAAUAGCAGAGAGAAUAUAUCUCAGAGUUUCCGUGCAUAUUAUAAUUCUCUUUGUCUCAGAGAAUAUAUUGGCAUAUUAUGACAAAGAUAUGACUCAAAGUAUAUGACAGUAUGACUUAUGUCGUAUAGAUUAGGAAUAACAUUAUAACGCAGAUAAAUCUAAUGUAACUAUGAAUAAUAUAGUUGUGCUGAAUGCAAUAAAUUAAUCAAUAUUUAUAAGAUAUGUAGCAUUUCUAUUACAAUAAUGUGUAUUUAAAUCAUUUGUGUACCCAUAAAUGCUGUGUCAAAAUGGGUUGUGUAUGUUGCUCGCUGAGCUCCUUCGUUUCUAUCCUUUUAGAUGCGUUAGAAAGAGUAUCGCUAUGUACAGUGUGUGCAAUGCUAACAUGCUGUCUCAUGUUGACUAUAAUCACGGUUAUGGUGAUGGGAGUUGGCAUCGGUUAUCAUUACUGCUUCGUGCAAAGUUCUGUCGAUGCUAUGGCCAAGGCAGCAAAAUCUGCCGGUGCAUUGCGUUCGCGUCCUGAGCCGGGUCACGUGAUGCGAUCAGUGGACCGGGCGGUAAAGAGAGGGUUUGCGCAUCGGGUCAGCAGGCGUGGAGUAGAUGGCAUGCUACUAACGAAUAACAAUACUGACAUCUUCGUCAAUCAAAAUGAUACCGGCGGGAAUAAAACCAAUUUCACUAAUUAUUGAUACUUACAAUAGCUAUUCUAAGAAUAAUAAAACCAAUUUUAUUUAUACACAAA
rnacentral:lncRNA from 1 species